AGGGCACAGGGCGGAUGCCUUGGCACUAAGAGCCGAUGAAAGACGUGAUAAGCUGCGAUAAGCUUCGGGGAGGAGCAAAUAUCCCGUGAUCCGGAGAUGUCUGAAUGGGGAAACCCGCAUGAGCAGACCUCAUGCAUCCAUACGCCAAUCCAUAACGUAUGGAAGGGAACCCGGGGAACUGAAACAUCUAAGUACCCGGAGGAAAAGAAAGAAACAUCGAUUCCGUAAGUAGCGGCGAGCGAACGCGGAGGAGCCUAAACCGGUGUGCGUGCAUGCCGGGGUCAUGGACUGCAUUUAAGAUUCAGCGAAGUUAACAGAACGGUUUUGGGAAAGCCGGCCGGAGAGGGUGAAAGCCCCGUACGUGAAAGCUGAUGAGACUGAGCAGGAUCCAGAGUACCACGAGACACGUGGAACCUUGUGGGAAAUCAGGGGGACCACCCCCUAAGGCUAAAUACUACUUAGUGACCGAUAGCGCAUAGUACUGUGAAGGAAAGGUGAAAAGGACCCCGGGAGGGGAGUGAAAGAGAACCUGAAACCCUGUGUCUACAAGCUGUGGAAGCACUUUAUAUGUGCGACCGCGUACUUUUUGUAGAACGGUCCGGCGAGUUACGCUUACUGGCAAGGUUAAGCACUUCAGGUGCGGAGCCGUAGGGAAACCAAGUCUUAAGAGGGCCAGAGUCAGUAGGAGUAGACCCGAAACCGGGUGAUCUAUCCAUGUCCAGGUUGAAGCUGCCGUAAGAGGUAGUGGAGGACCGAACCCACAUCCGUUGAAAAGGGUGGGGAUGAGGUGUGGAUAGGGGAGAAAUUCCAAUCGAACCCGGAGAUAGCUGGUUCUCCUCGAAAUAGCUUUAGGGCUAGCCUCGAUACAGAUUUGCGGAGGUAGAGCACUGAAUUUCCUAGGGGGCGUCAAAGCCUACCGAAGAAUAUCAAACUCCGAAUGCCGUGUAGAUAUCACCGGGAGUCAGACUGCACGAGAUAAGUUGGGCGGUCAAAAGGGAAAGAGCCCAGACCUUCAGUUAAGGUCCCCAAGUGCGCGUUAAGUGGAAAAGGAUGUGGGAUUUCGAAGACAACCAGGAUGUUGGCUCAGAAGCAGCCAUCCAUUCAAAGAGUGCGUAAUAGCUCACUGGUCGAGAGGUCCUGCGCCGAAAAUGUCCGGGGCUGAAACGCGCCACCGAAACUAAGGAACCGAAAGGUUGGUAGAGGAGCAUUGCAUGCGGGAAGAAGCAGUACCGUAAGGAGCUGUGGACUGCAUGGAAGAGAGAAUGCCGGAAUGAGUAGCGAGAUAGAGGUGGGAAUCCUCUAGGCCGAAUAUCCAAGGUUUCCAGGGUAAAGCUGAUCUGCCCUGGGUGAGUCGGGACCUAAGGUGAGGGCGAGAGCCGUAGCCGAUGGACAACAGGUUGAUAUUCCUGUACUGCAGUAUGACAGAACUGUGGGGACACGUAAGGAGAGCGGGAGCCGGGAAUGGAAAGCCCGGUACAAGCGAGGUACCAGUAUGGUAGGAAAAUCCGCCAUGCAAUGGGAAGACGUGAUGUGGAGUGAAUUUUAGUAACGAAGCCCGUGAGCCAUGCGUCAAGAAAAGCCGCUAUCGUUCAUAUUGUACCCGUACCGUAAACCGACACAGGUGGAUGAGGAGAGAAUCCUAAGGCCGGCGGAAGAAGUAUUGUUAAGGAACUCGGCAAAAUGACCCCGUAACUUCGGGAGAAGGGGUGCCUGCGAGAGCAGGCCGCAGAGAAUAGGCUCAAGCAACUGUUUAGCAAAAACACAGGUCUAUGCGAAACCGAAAGGUGAGGUAUAUGGGCUGACGCCUGCCCGGUGCUGGAAGGUUAAGAGGAGAGGUUAGCGCAAGCGAAGCUUUGAAUUUAAGCCCCAGUAAACGGCGGCCGUAACUAUAACGGUCCUAAGGUAGCGAAAUUCCUUGUCGGGUAAGUUCCGACCCGCACGAAAGGCGUAAUGAUUUGAGCGCUGUCUCGACAAUGCAUCCGGUGAAAUUGAAGUACCAGUGAAGAUGCUGGUUACCUGCGCCAGGACGGAAAGACCCCAUGGAGCUUUACUCCAGUUUGGUACUGGGACUCGGUAUUGCAUGUACAGGAUAGGUGGGAGGCUGAGAGACAGUAACGCCAGUUAUUGUGGAGCCGCUGUUGGGAUACCACCCUUGCAGUAUUGGGUUUCUAACCAGCCGCCGUGACCCGGCGGUGGGACAAUGCCAGACGGGGAGUUUGACUGGGGCGGUCGCCUCCGAAAGGGUAUCGGAGGCGCCCAAAGGUUCCCUCAGAAUGGACGGAAACCAUUCGAAGAGUGCAAAGGCAGAAGGGAGCUUGACUGCGACACCGACGGGUGGAGCAGGUACGAAAG
rnacentral:rRNA from 1 species